rnacentral:rRNA from 1 species
GGAAACAGAUGCUAAUACCGGAUAACAACAGAUGAUGCCUAUCAACUGUUUAAAAGAUGGUUCUGCUAUCACUCUUGGAUGGACCUGCGGUGCAUUAGCUAGUUGGUAGGGGUAACGGCCUACCAAGGCGAUGAUGCAUAGCCCGAGUUGAGAGACUGAUCGGGCCACAUUGGGGACUGAGGACACGGGGCCCAAAACUCCUACGGGGGGAGGGGCAGCAGGUAGGGGGAAUCUUCCACAAUGGACGCAAGUCUGAUGGAGCAACGCCGCGUGAGUGAAGAAGGGUUUCGGCUCGUAAAGCUCUGUUGUUGGUGAAGAAGGACAGGGGUAGUAACUGACCUUUGUUUGACGGUAAUCAAUUAGAAAGUCACGGCUAACUACGUGCCAGCAGCCGCGGUAAU